rnacentral:rRNA from 1 species
GAUGAACGCUGGCGGCGUGCCUAAUACAUGCAAGUCGAGCGAACGGACGAGAAGCUUGCUUCUCUGAUGUUAGCGGCGGACGGGUGAGUAACACGUGGAUAACCUACCUAUAAGACUGGGAUAACUUCGGGAAACCGGAGCUAAUACCGGAUAAUAUUUUGAACCGCAUGGUUCAAAAGUGAAAGACGGUAUUGCUGUCACUUAUAGAUGGAUCCGCGCUGCAUUAGCUAGUUGGUAAGGUAACGGCUUACCAAGGCAACGAUGCAUAGCCGACCUGAGAGGCGCUUGGGCACCACUGGAACUGGAACACGCCCCAGACUCCUACGGGAGGAGGCGGUAGGGAAUCUUCAGCAAUGGGGGAAAUCUUGACGGAUCACACCGGCGUGAGUGAUGAAGGUCUUCGGAUCUUAAAACUCUGUUCUUAGGGAAGAAAAUAUAUGUAAGUACCUGUGGACACCUUGACGGUACCUAAUCAGAAAGCCACGGCUAACUACGUG